GACGAACGCUGGCGGCGUGCCUAAUACAUGCAAGUAGAACGCUGAAGGAGGAGCUUGCUUCUCUGGAUGAGUUGCGAACGGGUGAGUAACGCGUAGGUAACCUGCCUGGUAGCGGGGGAUAACUAUUGGAAACGAUAGCUAAUACCGCAUAAUAGUAGAUGUUGCAUGACAUUUGCUUAAAAGGUGCAAUUGCAUCACUACCAGAUGGACCUGCGUUGUAUUAGCUAGUUGGUGGGGUAACGGCUCACCAAGGCGACGAUACAUAGCCGACCUGAGAGGGGGAUCGGCCACACUGGGACUGAGACACGGCCCAGACUCCUACGGGAGGGAGCAGUAGGGAAUCUUCGGCAAUGGACGGAAGUCUGACCGAGCAACGCCGCGUGAGUGAAGAAGGUUUUCGGAUCGUAAAGCUCUGUUGUAAGAGAAGAACGAGUGUGAGAGUGGAAAGUUCACACUGUGACGGUAUCUUACCAGAAAGGGACGGCUAACUACGUG
rnacentral:rRNA from 1 species